CAGAUAAUAUCUUAAAAGCUCUGAGAUCGCUAGCUCAGAAGCCUCUGCAUGACCUUGUCCACGUGUGCAUCGCUUCAAGUCUGGACAUCGAGGUCUAUGAGGAUGCCAAAAAGUAUCGAGCCAGUGGAGGGUCAAAGCUAUGGCCGAAUGCUAUGACUCGACUCCUACUCACUCCUUCGGUGACCCUGAGCCAUCCCUCA
rnacentral:lncRNA from 1 species